rnacentral:rRNA from 1 species
CCUACGGGAGGCAGCAGUGGGGAAUAUUGGACAAUGGGCGAAAGCCUGAUCCAGCCAUGCCGCGUGUGUGAAGAAGGCCUUCGGGUUGUAAAGCACUUUCAGUGGGGAAGAAAGCCUUGGGGCUAAUACCCUCGAGGAAGGACAUCACCCACAGAAGAAGCACCGGCUAACUCCGUGCCAGCAGCCGCGGUAAUACGGAGGGUGCGAGCGUUAAUCGGAAUUACUGGGCGUAAAGCGCGCGUAGGCGGUCUGAUAAGCCGGUUGUGAAAGCCCCGGGCUCAACCUGGGAACGGCAUCCGGAACUGUCAGGCUAGAGUGCAGGAGAGGAAGGUAGAAUUCCCGGUGUAGCGGUGAGAUGCGUAGAGAUCGGGAGGAAUACCAGUGGCGAAGGCGGCCUUCUGGACUGACACUGACGCUGAGGUGCGAAAGCGUGGGUAGCAAACAGGAUUAGAUACCCCUGUAGUC